UGAACACGGCCAGCCGCAUGGAAAGCAAUGGACACUCUAUGAAAAUUCAUCUCAGCGAAACGUCGAAAAGCAUAUUACAGCAUUUCCCAGGAUUCCACUGUCGCUCUCGCGGCGUAAUCAACAUCAAGGGCAAAGGUCAAAUGGAGACAUUCUGGUUGGAUAAAGAACAGCUGUACAUGUUUUUCGUGGCGUUGCUUUUCUCAUCAUAUCGGUUACACGAUGGACGCAGCUAGCAGCGCCACCAAUGCAUUAAAAUCCAUCGCCGAUUCCAAGCAAGUUUCUACCGCGACGCCAAAGCGUACAUCGUACAUCGCACAUCGCACAGACGUACAUCGCACAGACGUCCAGAGUGCCUGGUAGUGCAGCGG